rnacentral:rRNA from 1 species
UACGGAGGAUGCGAGCGUUAUCCGGAUUUACUGGGUGUAAAGGGGGCGCAGACGGCGAUGCAAGCCAGGAGUGAAAGCCCGGGGCCCAACCCCGGGACUGCUCUUGGAACUGCGUGGCUGGAGUGCAGGAGGGGCAGGCGGAAUUCCUGGUGUAGCGGUGAAAUGCGUAGAUAUCAGGAGGAACACCGGUGGCGAAGGCGGCCUGCUGGACUGCAACUGACGUUGAGGCCCGAAAGCGUGGGGAGCAAACAGG